UACGGAGGGUGCAAACGUUGCUCGGAAUCAUUGGGCGUAAAGCGCACGUAGGCGGCUUGUUAAGUCGGAUGUGAAAGCCCUCGGCUCAACCGAGGAAGUGCAUUCGAAACUGGCAAGCUUGAAUAUGGAAGAGGGUCGCGGAAUUCCCGGUGUAGAGGUGAAAUUCGUAGAUAUCGGGAGGAACACCAGUGGCGAAGGCGGCGACCUGGGCCAAUAUUGACGCUGAGGUGCGAAAGCGUGGGGAGCAAACAGG
rnacentral:rRNA from 1 species